CAAAUGAAGGUGAACGGUAGCCACAUUGUUACUAUACAGCCAACUCUAAGGAGCAGAUUGGGCUGAGCUUUGAACAGCUGGGGCUGGGGGUGAGUCCCCCACUCUUCUAGGAGGAGUCCCAGAACUGUCAAGUCAUCAAACUUGAAGGGGAAAGGGAAGGAGAAAGGCUGUGGGGUUAGUGGUUCCUCCUACAGUUUUCAGGAUGUGUUCCUGAGUCUCGUGAGUAGCACAUGGCAGUUGUUGUCACCUUGGGCUGAGCCGUGAAGAUUCUCACCCUCCCUUGUUGGGGAUGAACUCCGGGAUUCUAAGGAGAGGUCAGCAGGUGUUUCACAGACUGUUCCUGUUGGAGGAUUUGUCUGAUACUCUUCUCCUGAUUAGUCUGGGCUCUACA
ensembl:processed_transcript